UACGUAGGCAGCGAGCGUUGUUCGGAAUUACUGGGCGUAAAGAGUGUGUAGGCGGUGCUCUAAGUUCGGUGUGAAAUCUCCCGGCUUAACUGGGAGGGUGCGCCGGAAACUGGAGUGCUCGAACGUGGGAGAGGAAGCGGAAUUCCUGGUGUAGCGGUGAAAUGCGUAGAUAUCAGGAGGAACACCUGCGGUGUAGACGGCUUUCUGGACCAUUGUUGACGCUGAGACACGAAAGCGUGGGUAGCAAACAGG
rnacentral:rRNA from 1 species